rnacentral:rRNA from 1 species
AUUGAACGCUGGCGGCAUGCUUUACACAUGCAAGUCGAACGGUAACAGGUUAAGCUGACGAGUGGCGAACGGGUGAGUAAUGCAUCGGAACGUGCCCGGUCGUGGGGGAUAACGCAGCGAAAGCUGCGCUAAUGCCGCAUACGAUCUGAGGAUGAAAGCGGGGGACCGUAAGGCCUCGCGCGAUCGGAGCGGCCGAUGUCAGAUUAGGUAGUUGGUGGGGUAAAGGCCCACCAAGCCGACGACCUGUAGCUGGUCUGAGAGGACGACCAGCCACACUGGGACUGAGACACGGCCCAGACUCCUACGGGAGGCAGCAGUGGGGAAUUUUGGACAAUGGGCGAAAGCCUGAUCCAGCAAUGCCGCGUGCAGGAAGAAGGCCUUCGGGUUGUAAACUGCUUUUGUACGGAGCGAAAAGGUCCUUUCUAAUACAAGGGGCUCAUGACGGUACCGUAAGAAUAAGCACCGGCUAACUACGUGCCAGCAGCCGCGGUAAAAC